rnacentral:ncRNA from 1 species
AAACUAUUUAUGGGGUGCAGGUUCCGCAUUCGUGCGGAACCGAGCUGAGAUUAUACCCAAUCCUACGUCUAGUAGGAGGAACCUGAUCCGGAUAAUGCUGGCGUAGGGAUUAAUUUUGCUCUUAUC